UGGGGAAAGCUUGUUAGUUAAGAUGGGAAAGAAAAAGAUUUUGGAAAAAAAAAAAAAAGUAAUUAGAAGUGAAUGGUUUGGUUUAAGGCUAAAGGGAAGAGUAUUGAGAAAGAAAGUUGAAAGAAAGGGAGAAAUAAAAGUAAAGAAAAAAUGAAAGUUUGUACCUUGUGUAUUAGGGUUAAUCUAAAUUAUUCUUGUAGUUGAAGGAAAUCCCGAAAUAGAAAGAGCUAAGUUAAGAAAAAAGUUUUUGUGUUAAGAAAAUUUAGAAUUUUAAUUUUGUAGUGAAAUAUUAGUCGUGUUUUAUAUAUCUGGUUUUUCUCGAAAAAAAUUUAAUUUUUUUUUUAUUUUGAAAAGGAAUAGAAGGUAAGGACAGGAGGGGCGAGCUUCUUGUCCAAGAAAAUGAAGGUAAUAUAGGAGAUUUAUAUUUUGUUUAAUUGGAUUAGGCUUAAAAGUGGCCAUAUUUAAAAAGUGUUUAAACUAAUUUUUUAGGGUUACUCAAAUUUAUAUUUUGUUUAUUUUUAGUAGGGGAAAGAUUUAAUAAGUAGAAGAUUAUUUGUUAAAAUGAUUAUAUUAGUAUAAGUUUGUUGUUGAAUAGUUAAAUAGAUUUUUAAAAAAAAAAAAUAAAAAAAGAAAAGGUAGUUUAGAGGAACUCGGCAAAAGAAACUUCUGCCUGUUUAUCAAAAACAUGUCUAUAUGUUGUUAUAUAAAGUCUGGCCUGCCCACUGAUUGUUAAGAUUAAAGGGCCGCGGUAUAUUGACCGUGCGAAGGUAGCAUAAUCAUUAGUCUUUUAAUUGGAGGCUGGAAUGAAUGGUUUCACAAGAAGUUUACUGUCUUUAUAUUAACAUUUGAAAUUAACUUUUAAGUGAAAAGGCUUAAAUAAUUUAAGGGGACGAUAAGACCCUAUAAAACUUUACAUAGAAAAAAUAUUUUAGGAAAUUAUUUGUGUCUAAAUAUAAGAAGUUUGUGUAUGUUUUGUUGGGGCGACAAGAAUAAAAUAAGAAUUGUAACUGUUUUAAAGAAGUAGAGUCAAUAAUUUUUGAAAAAAAAAUGGUCCUUAAAAAAGAGUAGAAGAGUAAGUUACUUUAGGGAUAACAGCGUUAUUUUUUUGGAGAGUUCUUAUCAAUAAAAAAGAUUGCGACCUCGAUGUUGAAUUAAAAUUUCUUUAUAGUGCAGAAGCUAUAAGAGAAAGUCUGUUCGACUUUUAAAAUUUUACAUGAUUUGAGUUCAAACCGGUGUGAGCCAGGUUGGUUUCUAUCUUUUAAAAAAAAAAAAUUACUUUAGUACGAGAGGACCAGGUAAUUUAAAUAGUUUGUUUAAGUAUUAGAAUAAAAUU
rnacentral:rRNA from 1 species